rnacentral:rRNA from 1 species
UAAUACGUAGGUGGCAAGCGUUGUCCGGAUUUAUUGGGUUUAAAGGGUGCGUAGGUUGUGUUGUAAGUCAGUGGUGAAAUCCGGCAGCUUAACUGUCGAUGUGCCAUUGAUACUGCAGCACUUGAGUACAGACGAGGUAGGCGGAAUUGACGGUGUAGCGGUGAAAUGCUUAGAUAUCGUCAAGAACACCGAUAGCGAAGGCAGCUUACUAGACUGUAACUGACACUGAUGCACGAAAGUGUGGGGAUCAAACAGG